rnacentral:rRNA from 1 species
UGCAGUCGAACGGUAACAGGUCUUCGGAUGCUGACGAGUGGCGAACGGGUGACUAACGCAUCGGAACGUGUCCAGUAGUGGGGGAUAGCCCGGCGAAAGCCGGAUUAAUACCGCAUACAACCUACGGGUAAAAGGGGGGGAUCGCAAGACCUCUCGCUAUUGGAGCGGCCGAUGUCAGAUUAGGUAGUUGGUGGGGUAAAGGCCCACCAAGCCGACGAUCUGUAGCUGGUCUGAGAGGACGACCAGCCACACUGGGACUGAGACACGGCCCAGACUCCUACGGGAGGCAGCAGUGGGGAAUUUUGGACAAUGGACGAAAGUCUGAUCCAGCCAUGCCGCGUGCGGGAAGAAGGCCUUCGGGUUGUAAACCGCUUUUGUCAGGGAAGAAAAGCUGCGCGCUAAUACCGCGCGGUCAUGACGGUACCUGAAGAAUAAGCACCGGCUAACUACGUGCCAGCAGCCGCGGUAAUACGUAGGGUGCAAGCGUUAAUCGGAAUUACUGGGCGUAAAGCGUGCGCAGGCGGCUUUGCAAGACAGAUGUGAAAUCCCCGGGCUCAACCUGGGAACUGCAUUUGUGACUGCAAGGCUAGAGUACGGUAGAGGGGAGUGGAAUUCCGCGUGUAGCAGUGAAAUGCGUAGAUAUGCGGAGGAACACCGAUGGCGAAGGCAGCUCCCUGGACCUGUACUGACGCUCAUGCACGAAAGCGUGGGGAGCAAACAGGAUUACAUACCCUGGUAGUCCACGCCC